ensembl:lncRNA
AGACAUUACACAUACUUCUGUAAAACAAGAAAAUCUUUAAUAAUAAUAAAAAGAAGUUGCACACCAAAAUAAAUAAAUAAAUAAAGAAGAUAAGGGAAGAUUAUAUAUUUUGUGUUCACAUGUUGUACUUUUAUGUUCUGAACUGUCUGUGAUCUGCUAAUGAUGGGUGGUAUACAAAUUAAAUAAUAACAAUUAAAUAAUCCCAAUUACACUCAAAUUUCUGGAAGGACUUUCUGAGAACCUCACAGAAUAACCUCUUCUUGGAUUGUCUGGGUGGAGCUACUGAUGGAAAACAUAUCUCACCAAAAUCUCCCAGGAUGCUAUAUAAGAAGGCCUGGUGGCCCACAUGCCAUUCACACUGAAUCCUAAAAUGUGGGCCAAGAUCUUCUUACCAUUUGUGGGACUCCUUUGCGGGGCCAGCCUGCCACUGACUUCUUCCCAGGCUGCUCCAGGUGCAAUAUUGGUGUGCACUGUCAAUGACUUUGUCCCCGUAGGCAUGACGAUUACGUGGGAGGCAGGUGGCCAAUCAGAUAACACCUCCGGCAUCAUAAGUGCAAGCACUGGUAACACAGCACACUUCAGCCUUAAACCACUAGGCGAUUCGGAGGGUGACCUCUUCGUCUGUCGAGUAUCCCUCCCUGAGUCUGAAACAAAAGUCAAAGAACCUGAAGGCAAAGGGAACGGUCUCCAUGAGAACCUCUAUCGCGCCAACCGUAAAGAAAGCAGCCUUCAGCGAGCACAGACAAUCCUCACCGGCAUGGUCAUAGGGCUCAAUGCAAGUGAAGUUUCUGUCCAGUGGGUGAAGAAUGCCCUCCUUGAAGGCCGCCAUGUGAAUCCCCAAGCCUUGAAGGGCAGCAUCAAGGAUUCCCUCUUGGCCUUCAGCCAGGUGGUAAUCCCCUACUCUGACUGGAACAACGGCACUUCAUACUCCUGUACGUUUACCCGCACAGCAGACACCGUGGAGCCCACCCAGAGGCCGGAGGAGAAAUCCCAGGGUGAAAAGUGAUGCACACCCCUUCCUCAGCAUCACAACCUCAGUUUUCCCUCUUCAGCCUAUCCCAGAUUCAAUAAUAUCCAUGUAA